AUACGUAGGGUGCAAGCGUUAAUCGGAAUUACUGGGCGUAAAGCGUGCGCAGGCGGUUUUGUAAGACAGUGGUGAAAUCCCCGGGCUCAACCUGGGAACUGCCAUUGUGACUGCAAGGCUGGAGUGCGGCAGAGGGGGAUGGAAUUCCGCGUGUAGCAGUGGAAUGCGUAGAUAUGCGGAGGAACACCGAUGGCGAAGGCAAUCCCCUGGGCCUGCACUGACGCUCAUGCACGAAAGCGUGGGGAGCAAACAGGAUUAGAUACCCUGGUAGUCCACGCCCUAAACGAUGUCAACUGGUUGUUGGGGAUUUAUUUUCUCAGUAACGAAGCUAACGCGUGAAGUUGACCGCCUGGGGAGUACGGCCGCAAGGUUAAAACUCAAAGGAAUUGACGGGG
rnacentral:rRNA from 1 species